CACACUGGAACUGAGACACGGUCCAGACUCCUACGGGAGGCAGCAGUGGGGAAUAUUGCGCAAUGGGCGAAAGCCUGACGCAGCAACGCCGUGUGAGUGAGGAAGGCCUUCGGGUUGUAAAGCUCUGUCAAGGUGGAAAAAUGGCCAAUGUCCAAUAGGCCUUUGGUUUGAUGGUACACCUAAAGGAAGCACCGGCUAACUUCGUGCCAGCAGCCGCGGUAAUACGAAGGGUGCAAGCGUUGUUCGGAUUUAUUGGGCGUAAAGCGCGCGCAGGCGGAUUUGCAAGUCAGGUGUGAAAUCUCGGGGCUCAACCCCGAAACUGCGCCUGAAACUGCGGAUCUAGAAUAUUGGAGAGGGAAGAGGAAUUUCGCAUGUAGGGGUAAAAUCCGUAGAGAUGCGAAGGAACACCAGAGGUGAAAACGUCUUCCUGGACAAUCAUUGACGCUGAGGCGCGAAAGCGUGGGGAGCGAACAGGAUUAGAUACCCUGGUAGUCCACGCCGUAAACGAUGUGCACUAGAUAUUGCGAGGAUUGGCCCUUGCAGUGUUGUAGCUAACGCAUUAAGUGCACCGCCUGGGGAGUACGGUCGCAAGACUAAAACUCAAAGGAAUUGACGGGGGCCCGCACAAGCGGUGGAUCAUGUGGUUUAAUUCGAAGCAACGCGCAGGACCUUACCUAGGCUUGACAUCCCGAGAACCUGCCUUAAACGGCGGGGUGCCCGUAAGGGAAUUCGGAGACAGGCGCUGCAUGGCUGUCGUCAGCUCGUGUCGUGUGAUGUUGGGUUAAGUCUCGCAACGAGCGCAACCCCUGUUCUUAGUUGCCAGCAUUAAGUUGGGCACUCUAAGGAGACUGCCUGGGUUAACCAGGAGGAAGGUGGGGAUGACGUCAAG
rnacentral:rRNA from 1 species